rnacentral:rRNA from 1 species
GCCUACGGUCAUACCACCCUGAAUGCACCUGAUCCUUGUAUGAUCUCAGAAGCUAAGCAGGGUCUAGUUUGGUUAGCACUUGGAUGGGAGAAUGUGAUGGGCCAAGUUUGGUCCACAGGCC